rnacentral:rRNA from 1 species
GGCUCUUUGUUUAAUAGAGGUAUAAAGAGUCGAACCUGCCCAAUGACGUAGUGUUGAAUGGCCGCGGUAUUCUGACCGUGCGAAGGUAGCAUAAUCAUUUGUCUUUUAAUUGAGGACUGGAAUGAAUGGUUUGACGAAAACAAAACUGUCUUUUUUUUAUUAAGUAGAAAUUAAUUUUAAAGUGAAGAAGCUUUAAUAUUUAUAUAAGACAAGAAGACCCUAUUGAGCUUUAUUAUUUAGUGUUGGUUAAAUUUUAUAUUUUUAAAAAGUUUAAUGAAGUUAAAAAAUAAUUUGGUUGGGGCGACUUAGGAAUAAAAUAACUUCCUUUAAAUUUUGAGAAUAAAGCAUAGUGAUCCGAUAUUAUCGAUUGAAGGAAAUAGCUACCAUAGGGAUAACAGCGUAAUUUUUUUAGAGAGUUCUUAUCGAAAAAAAAGUUUGCGACCUCGAUGUUGGAUUGAAGUAUCUAAAGGGUGCAGAAGUUCUUUGGGUUGGUCUGUUCGACCAUUAAAACUUUACA